UGCUGGAGGUAUCAGAAGUGCGAAUGCUGACAUAAGUAACGAUAAAGCGGGUGAAAAGCCCGCUCGCCGGAAGACCAAGGGUUCCUGUCCAACGUUAAUCGGGGCAGGGUGAGUCGACCCCUAAGGCGAGGCCGAAAGGCGUAGUCGAUGGGAAACAGGUUAAUAUUCCUGUACUUGGUGUUACUGCGAAGGGGGGACGGAGAAGGCUAUGUUAGCCGGGCGACGGUUGUCCCGGUUUAAGCAUGUAGGCUGGUUGUCCAGGCAAAUCCGGAUAAUCAAGGCUGAGGUGUGAUGACGAGGCACUACGGUGCUGAAGUAACAAAUGCCCUGCUUCCAGGAAAAGCCUCUAAGCAUCAGGUAACAUCAAAUCGUACCCCAAACCGACACAGGUGGUCAGGUAGAGAAUACCAAGGCGCUUGAGAGAACUCGGGUGAAGGAACUAGGCAAAAUGGUGCCGUAACUUCGGGAGAAGGCACGCUGGUGUGUAGGUGAAGUCCCUGCGGAUGGAGCUGAGACCAGUCGAAGAUACCAGCUGGCUGCAACUGUUUAUUAAAAACACAGCACUGUGCAAACACGAAAGUGGACGUAUACGGUGUGACGCCUGCCCGGUGCCGGAAGGUUAAUUGAUGGGGUUAUCCGUAAGGAGAAGCUCUUGAUCGAAGCCCCGGUAAACGGCGGCCGUAACUAUAACGGUCCUAAGGUAGCGAAAUUCCUUGUCGGGUAAGUUCCGACCUGCACGAAUGGCGUAAUGAUGGCCAGGCUGUCUCCACCCGAGACUCAGUGAAAUUGAACUCGCUGUGAAGAUGCAGUGUACCCGCGGCAAGACGGAAAGACCCCGUGAACCUUUACUAUAGCUUGACACUGAACAUUGAGCCUUGAUGUGUAGGAUAGGUGGGAGGCUUUGAAGCGUGGACGCCAGUCUGCGUGGAGCCAACCUUGAAAUACCACCCUUUAAUGUUUGAUGUUCUAACGUUGGCCCCUUACCGGGGUUGCGGACAGUGUCUGGUGGGUAGUUUGACUGGGGCGGUCUCCUCCCAAAGCGUAACGGAGGAGCACGAAGGUUAGCUAAUCCUGGUCGGACAUCAGGAGGUUAGUGCAAUGGCAUAAGCUAGCUUGACUGCGAGCGUGACGGCGCGAGCAGGUGCGAAAGCAGGUCAUAGUGAUCCGGUGGUUCUGAAUGGAAGGGCCAUCGCUCAACGGAUAAAAGGUACUCCGGGGAUAACAGGCUGAUACCGCCCAAGAGUUCAUAUCGACGGCGGUGUUUGGCACCUCGAUGUCGGCUCAUCACAUCCUGGGGCUGAAGUAGGUCCCAAGGGUAUGGCUGUUCGCCAUUUAAAGUGGUACGCGAGCUGGGUUUAGAACGUCGUGAGACAGUUCGGUCCCUAUCUGCCGUGGGCGCUGGAGAAUUGAGGGGGGCUGCUCCUAGUACGAGAGGACCGGAGUGGACGCAUCACUGGUGUUCGGGUUGUCAUGCCAAUGGCACUGCCCGGUAGCUAAAUGCGGAAGAG
rnacentral:rRNA from 2 species